AUGUUUCCCUUCUCGAUGCUAGCGGCCGUCAACACCGAAGACCAGCAAGAUGGACAGGACGUCGGUCCCGGGGGACACGAUCGACUACGUGAAGGAGCUGUUGGAGAGGAUACAACGGCUGCAGUUGGAGUUAUAGGAGUCACGCUGCUGUGGGUAUGGCUGCCGGGUGUGUUCCAGCAGCAGAAUCCCAACGAGAUGCUGGCCAGGAAAAGCUCCAAGGCUAUUAGACAUGCUCAUUUGAAGAUUGAGUUAUCAAUAUCAAUUAUGGUUACCUAUCGGCGUCUAAUCAGGUCUGCAAGGUUAUGA
rnacentral:rRNA from 1 species